rnacentral:lncRNA from 1 species
GCUUUGCAGCCCGAGUAGUUCUUCUUUCAAUUGUUAUUGUCGCUUAAAAAAAUCUUUAAAAUCACUCAAACUUGGUCUCGGCCGCGUCGAAAGUGGGAGAAAAGUGCUUUCCUGGUCGGAACAUGGAACUGCAAGGCCUGCAAGAGGCGCUGAAAGUAGAGAUCCAAUGUCAUCAGAAUCAGACGUUGUGCAAAGGCCUCAAUGAACUUCAGAACGGACAGCGCUUGCCGGUGCCGGUGAUGCUGAGCGUUUGUGAUGGCGG